rnacentral:rRNA from 1 species
GACGAACGCUGGCGGCGUGCCUAAUACAUGCAAGUAGAACGCUGAAGAGAGGAGCUUACUCUUCUUGGAUGAGUUGCGAACGGGUGAGUAACGCGUAGGUAACCUGCCUUGUAGCGGGGGAUAACUAUUGGAAACGAUAGCUAAUACCGCAUAACAAUGGAUGACACAUGUCAUUUAUUUGAAAGGGGCAAUUGCUCCACUACAAGAUGGACCUGCGUUGUAUUAGCUAGUAGGUGAGGUAAUGGCUCACCUAGGCGACGAUACAUAGCCGACCUGAGAGGGUGAUCGGCCACACUGGGACUGAGACACGGCCCAGACUCCUACGGGAGGCAGCAGUAGGGAAUCAUCGGCAAUGGGGGCAACCCUGACCGAGCAACGCCGCGUGAGUGAAGAAGGUUUUCGGAUCGUAAAGCUCUGUUGUGAGUCAAGAACGGGUGUGAGAGUGGAAAGUUCACACUGUGACGGUAGCUUACCAGAAAGGGACGGCUAACUACGUG